UUGACCUUAAAUAACUCUUAAUCCGUAAUAUAUAUGGACCUGAUUCGUUUUGGAGAUUAAAUACCACAUAACAAGCUACACAUAUCAACCUUUAAAACAUAAAACACAAAGAUGACCGAGAUAUAAGGCCUGACAUUUGCCAAAAAAAAUUUCUGGACACUUAGAAUAUUUUCUGGGUUUGAAAAACAGCCGGUCAAUGUCGGUCAACCCACUUUGACCGCUUAUAAAUCCCGAUCUACAAUAGAUAUAGACCUGAUUCCUUUUGGAGUUUAAAGACCACAUAUCAAGCUACCUAUAACAACUUUUAAACAACAAAACUCGUGAUCGACCAAAGAGUUAUAGCCUCUGACAUUUGGUGAAAAAUAACAGAAUUCGGUUUUUCCAACUUGUUUAAAUCUUCAAAUUCGUGCACUUUGAUGUUAUGGGUUCAUGAUUUUACAACCCAGAACAUUAAUAGACUCUCUAUUACACUACUUUAAACAAUCAAUUGCAUCAAUUAACAUCGAAUCGAAGGAUUUC
rnacentral:lncRNA from 1 species